AAGUCUUCGGACUUAGUGGCGCACGGGUGCGUAACGCGUGGGAAUCUGCCCUUAGGUACGGAAUAACUCAGGGAAACUUGUGCUAAUACCGUAUGAUGUCUUCGGACCAAAGAUUUAUCGCCUAGGGAUGAGCCCGCGUUGGAUUAGCUAGUUGGUGGGGUAAAGGCCCACCAAGGCGACGAUCCAUAGCUGGUCUGAGAGGAUGAUCAGCCACACUGGGACUGAGACACGGCCCAGACUCCUACGGGAGGCAGCAGUGGGGAAUAUUGGACAAUGGGCGAAAGCCUGAUCCAGCAAUGCCGCGUGAGUGAUGAAGGCCUUAGGGUUGUAAAGCUCUUUUACCCGGGAAGAUAAUGACUGUACCGGGAGAAUAAGCCCCG
rnacentral:rRNA from 1 species